CCUUUGUUGGGAAACGUUUACAUUUCUAAGGGAAACCUCUAUCUGUGAAAAUGCCUCCCUCUCUGUGCCAGCAAGAAGGGGGUAUGGUCUUAUCUCUAGAAGCUCUUAAUCAAUGCCAGAGGCAAGAACUUAAGUUGGUUACUGUCUGGCAACUUCAUGUAACUGACCCCCCCCCCCCCCCCCCCCACAAAUCCUCCUUUGUCUUUAGCCGAGGAUAAAAUUCAAGCCGUGACUUCUGCCAUUUACUCAAUCCGGUUUGAUUCUUAUCUAAAAGUUGUGGGACCGCCAAAUGGCCAGACCAUACGGGCACUGAUACCAUUUUAACUUUUUUACAUAUUCUUUGUCUUGUAAAGAGAUAACUCACAUACCUAUGCCUUAAAUUUAGCCCUAACCCUCAACUCGGGGCAGCAGCAGGAGCUCUGACUGCCCGUGGGUCCUGUCCCCACGCACCAGCUCUGCCUGCCCAUGGGUCCUGUCCCCAUGCCAGCGGGGGCAGCAGAAGCAGCGGCAGCAGAAGCUCUGACUGCCCAUGGGUCCUGUCCCCAUGCUAUUCUAUACUAUUCUCUAAAUAAAAGAGCACUACUGCCAGAUCUUGAGAGUCUAAGAAAUCUUUCUUUCGACUCCUCGGCUCACCGACCCCGCAUCAUUUCUGGUGGCCCGUACGGGGAUCUCGCUUCAUCGGCUUGUGAGCUCGAGUUCUGGAAUAGCCGUAGACGCCGUGAUGUGCUGCAGCCCAGACCUCUCUCCAGGACAGGCUCCCCAGCCUCUGGGAUUGCUGCCCGCAGACAGCCUCAGCUGCCAGCCCCUUCCAGAUUGCCCUAGGUCACACCGCCUUCCCAGGCCUGCCCGCAGCCAGUGGGUAUAAAGGCCCAGCAUUCUUGCCUGGAUUUGGGUCAACUCUGAAGGUCAUUUUGGCUCCUGUGCUCCAGGCAGCAUUGCAGGGCUUUUGUUUAGACUUCAGCGCAGCUCACCUUCUCCCUCCGGCUAGUCCUGCUGCUGUGUCCUCUCUUCCACAGAGACAUCAAAUUAAGGGAAGCUCAGAAAGCAUCCAGCCCAGCCUCCUCCCAAUACAGCAAUACCUUUAGGAUCUGACCCAGCUAAUGGGGCCACGGCUUGAACGCUGACCAUGACAAGGCCUCGUCAUCUCAAGAGCAGCCAUUUCAGUGCCUGGACAGCUCAGACUGCUAGAAGGCUCUUCUCAUGCUGGUCAGCUCCUGCCAGACAGAGCCACAGAGCAAGGGUCUAUGUGGGUGCCAGGACUGUGCCAGGCUGGGAGGAACACAGGAUGGUGGAGACCCUGUCCCAGCCCUCAGGACAGACCAGGUCCAGAGCAAGGAUGGCGGCAGGGUCCUGGCUCCCAGCCCCGGUGGCAGCCCUGAGGAUGCACACUCGACCCACAUUCGAAGUUCCCCUGGAAGAUGGAGCACAGACACCCAGUGGGACAGUCCCUGAUGGCCUGGACACUCCACCUCUGCAAGCAGCCUGGUCACCAGCUGGCUCAUGCCUGAUAUUUCUAGGUGCUUUUGAUAAGCCCAGUGCCCACAUGGGGCUCCUCUGAGGGCCUCCCCAGCCUGAGCCUGCGCCUCCCUUUCAGCAGCCUAGGUCGCCAAGCUGGGGACCAAUUAAGCUGAGGUUGUGUCACCCCCUGUGUGGUAGGAAAGGCCACUGGUCUGCUAAAGAAUUAGCCAGCGCCCAGGGACUCCCUGGGUGAGCCCCCUUUGUCCAGGCCUGCUCUAGGUCCCUGUUGUUGCUCUGGCCCUGGGUGCAGCUAGAUGGCGUUGUCCCAUCAUGCCUUGCACCUGCCCUGGCCUGAGCAGCGGGCUCACCUGGCAUCCACUCAUGUGACCCCAUGGACGCAGAGGAGUCUGCACACAGUUCCUGGACCCCAGCCCUAGGCCUUUACUGAGGCCAUAGUCACAGGCCAUUGGAGACACUGCCCACCCCUUCCUCAGGGCUCAGAGCAACACAUUGAUUCAACAAGUAUUUACUAAAGUCCUACUAUGUGCAGGACUUUAUGCCAGGUGCAGGCGAUGCAGCACAGCAGACACUUCCCUGUCCUGCCUGGAGGAGACAGAGUAAUAUGGGAGACAGAAAUAGACAUAAAUUCACACACCUGGGGAGCGCCCCAAAGCACCAGGAUAACAUACAGGUGUGUGCAGGGAGGACGUUGGACAGGCCUCUGCCGUGCUCUGAGAGAUAGCAGCUCUGCAGUGAGGUUGGAAGGAAGGGUCAGGGUUCACCAGGCAGAGGAGACAGGGAGGAAUGGGCUCCUGGAAGCUUGGGAAGCAGGGAGGAGUCCUCCUUGAGGUCCCAGGGCUGCAGGUCCCACUUCCCUCCACACCUGGCACAGGGCUGGGCGGUGGUGAGGGACAGCCCAGCUGUCUGGAGGAUGGAGCCCUGAGAGAGGAAUCCAGUCCCGGAUGCCAGGCUGAGCUGCGCCAGAACCUGCAUGUCUCGGCUGCCUUAUGGGUCAGAUGGAGUUUCAGACUCCAGCUUCUUCUGCAGCCCUGAGAGGUGGGCGCCACCCUCUGGACUCUCAAGUGAGCACAUGGAGGCCCGGGGCCGCCCCUCGCAGGAGACCAGAGGCAGGAGCUGAAAACAGAGCCCAGCACACCUCUCCUGGUCUCUCAGCUGAGUCACGCUCUGGGAUCCCCAGAGGUUUCAGCAACUUCACAGGGAUGACGGAGAACGGAGAGUCAAAUGAUGGUCAUGGGAAACGUGCCAUGAUGUCACAUGGCAGUCAUGGGAAAGGACAUGCCUGGCAAUGGCGUUGGCCUUGUUUUCUUCUGGGAUGGGGUCACUGGGCUGUGCUGGGACUGAGAGGAUCUGGAUCUGAGCCCCCAGCUGUGACAAAGCCCUGUGAGCCUGGGCAAGGGGGAGGCUGCAUUCGCUGGGAAGAAACUCCUUUGAUUCCAGUGUGGAAAGAGAGAGAAGCGUGCAGAUUUAAAUUGCAUCAGGAGAGACUCAAGCCAGACACGUGGAAGAACAUCCAGGCUGAGGGUGCUGAGAAGGAAAGGGCAUGGAGGCAUCUGCCGAUGUCACAGUGUCAUCUCCAGCUCUAAGGCAGGAAAGGCUUGGAGGACUCAGGGUGGGCACCAGAGGCGGCAGACAUGCUCAGUGAUGCUGACUGAAGUUGGCCAUGACGUUUAGUGGGGAGAGCAUGGAUUGGGCCACAGGCAGGAAACAGACCCUGAGGGGCCAGGAGGGUUGGGAGCUGCCCAGAAGAGCAAACAUUAUUCACAAUACCUGAGACUUGAAAACAGCCAAAGAGCCCACUGAUGGAUGAACGGAUAAAGAAGAUGUGGUAUAUAUACACAAUGGAAUACAACUCAGCCACAAAAAGAGAAAUCUUGCCAUUUGUGACAACAUGGAUGGACCUUGAGGUUAUUAUGCUAAGUGAGAUAAGUCAGACAGAGAAAGUCAAAUACAGUAUGAUUUCACUCAUAUACGGAAGAUAAAACAACAACAAACACGUAGGUACAGAGAAUGGAUUGGUGAUUGCCAGGGAGGUAGCAGGUAGGGGGGAGUGUGAAAGGGGUAAAGGGACACAUGUUCAUGGUGACGGAUGGAAACUAGACUUCUGAUAAUGAACACGAUGUCGUCUGCACAUAAGUCAAAAUAUAAUGAUGUACACCUGAAAUUUAUAUGAUGUUAUAAACCAAUGUUACCCCAAUAAAAAAAUUAAAAUUUUGAAUUAUUAGC
ensembl:lncRNA